GAAAUCUAGGCUCUAGAGAAGAGAGAAGAGCGAGAGAAGGAAAAGGAGAAGAGGACACCAGGCCACGCAGCCACCCAGCUACCCAGCCACACAGCCAGCAGUGGAGUAAGAAGGAAAUAAAUACAGAAUAAAGAAUAGUAGAAAACCCAGAGGCAAAAUGUAGUUGAAGAGAAAUGGGAUAAUUUAAGUUAUAAAAGCUGGCUAGAAACAAGCCAAGCUAAGGCCAUGCAUUCAUAAGCAAGAAUAAGUCUUCAUUGUUUUUAUUUGGGAGCUGGGAGGCAGGUCCCCAAAGAGUUGGAAAAAAAAAAAAAGCAAACAACUAGAUCACUGGGGAGAAACACAGAGUAACUUUGGUCCCCUUCAUGGGAGUGAUAAUUUAUUUCAUCUUUUAAGAAUUACCCUUUUCCUUAGUUAUCUAUUACAGGCCCUAUCACUGGAUGCUUUUUUCCUUUGGGAAUUAGGGUUACAUCAUGUGAAUCGGGGAAGGUUUUCAUAUUCAGGAGAUAGAACUGGGUGAUCUAAGACAGUCUUCUCCUCUACCAUAGGACAGAUAAAAUUAAAAUCAAACCUCUCUUACAAAGAAGAGGAGCCCAGAAGGCUGGAAAUUCCAGAUGAAAAAAAAGAAGGCACCAGAUACUUGGAAUGGGACAGAGCUGCCUGGGAGAGAAGUAAAAGGGUGAGGAGGCCCAAGAGACCAGACUGCAGGGAACCUUGGGAGAAAACCAUCAGGAAUGCCUCAUUUACUUUCAAGAGAAAUGAGAGAAUUUCACUACAUUCAAACUGCCACUGAACUUGCUGGGUAGAUGUGCUAACACCAACCGCAUCAUUCUCUUGAGUGCAGGUGUAUGCCACCGUUCCUGGCAGCUUUUUAAAAGUUUUGCUUUAAAUUACACUUUCAUUAUGAAAAAUACUGUGAUGAAAUUGGGUUAAUUUUUCUUGCGUUUUAUUUCAUUUAUUUGUGUGUAUGUAUGUUUUGUGUUUGUACAUACAUGUGUGCACACAUGAGGAGGUCAGAAGACAACUUGUGAAAGCCAGUUCUCUCCUUCCACCAUGAGGGUUACAAGGAUUGAUCAACACAGGGCUCCAGGUUUGGUGGCAAGUGUCUUUGCUCACUGAACCAUCUCAAUGGUCCCCUAGCAUAUUAAAUUUCAGAUCAUACAAACCUUGAGCAUCCCAGAAAAAAACUGUAAAAAAUACUACACAGUAUUAAAAAAAACAUGGCUAAAGGUAUAGCUCAACGCCAUUGCACAUGUUCCUGGAUUGACCGUCCUUAUUGACAAAUGCAGUUGCAAUCUCUCUUGACAAUAUAACAUUUUUUUGCUUAUUUUUCUCUGACAUUGUUUUUCAGUCUCAAAGAGACAUUGGAUUGAUUGGACAUUGGACAUCUAUACGUUUCAAAAGGUUAAAAAAUUAAGUCCAGCUAUGUAAUUAUCUAAUUUGACUACUUAAUUAGUCUUUUGAUAUAAUGAAUCUCAGAUAAGAAAUUAUUUUUGUAAAUAUGGACUUUCAUUGUACAACUUAGCUGCUCUGUAACUUGAUAUGUAGACCAGGCUGGCCUUGAUCUCAUAGAGAUCCAUUUACUUCUGUCUCUUGAGUGCUGUGAUUAAAGACCUGCUCCUCCAUGCCUGGCCUCAGAUAAGAAAUUCCACAGAAGAUAGGGAGAUUUGGGAAUGAAUAUUUCAAAUAGCAAAAGAAAAGUCUAGAAUAUGCCUACUUCAUUUCAUUUUAAAAGAUUAUUAUGUCUGUCUUUCAAAUUCUUUGGAUGCAGAAAAGCACGUAUUCCAAGAUAU
rnacentral:lncRNA from 1 species